AUUGAACGCUGGCGGCAUGCCUUACACAUGCAAGUCGAACGGCAGCGCGGGAGCAAUCCUGGCGGCGAGUGGCGAACGGGUGAGUAAUACAUCGGAACGUGCCCAAUCGUGGGGGAUAACGCAGCGAAAGCUGUGCUAAUACCGCAUACGAUCUACGGAUGAAAGCAGGGGAUCGCAAGACCUUGCGCGAAUGGAGCGGCCGAUGGCAGAUUAGGUAGUUGGUGAGGUAAAGGCUCACCAAGCCUUCGAUCUGUAGCUGGUCUGAGAGGACGACCAGCCACACUGGGACUGAGACACGGCCCAGACUCCUACGGGAGGCAGCAGUGGGGAAUUUUGGACAAUGGGCGAAAGCCUGAUCCAGCCAUG
rnacentral:rRNA from 1 species